AGCUGCAGCUAAGUUUUCACCAUGGAGUCUGUGGCUAAAGGAGAGAUCCAGCAAGAAGGAGAAUGAAGGCUUGUGCUUCUGCCAGUUCACUCGCUACUUAGCCCUGGGACCGUGAGACACAGCUCCUGAUCUGAGCACUUGCUCUUGCUACGGGCACUAACUGAGGGAAGCCUAGGUGGCCAUACCUCCCUGCUCUCCUGCCAGCUCUGCAAAUAAAUGCUAGGAGGCAGCUGAUGCCGGCCGGCCGGCUGCCAAGCAGGUCAGGCCUCUGCAGCUGAAACUGCCCGAGAUUCCUGAGCGGGAUGAUGAAUCAGCUGCGUCCUUUAGGGCACAUCCUCUCUUGGACGUGCUGCUGGGAUGUCGUGUCUCUCCGCCGCUUCCCCGUGGUGAGAGUGUGCUCAGAGCUGCUGGCUGAUGACACUGGCGUGGGAAGCCUGGCAGCAUGUGGGACAGAACUCCUCUCAGCGCUAUCAGGCCACUUGUUCCUUGAAUUCCCCUCCACAAAGUGGGAUGGUGAGAGGAGAAGAGACUUAGCACUUCCCAUCCCUGCUGAUGAAUGGAGCCAGGCUUUCUUUGGGCUCCAAGUGAAUUCACUGGGCCAGAUGCUGAGGCCAAGCCCCAGGGUUGCUUGUUCCUGGGAAGGAAAGUCUCCUUUUUCAGUGCUGCCCCCUAAGGCAGAGGAUACAAGAAGGGAGCGUCAUUUUUAUGACAGCAAGGAUGCAUCCUUUGCAAUUGUGACUCCCUUUGUCUGGAAUGUGGGAUGCUGUGGCUGUCCUGCUGUGUUUUCUGUCUUUCUCUGGGACAGCUGAAGUGAGUACCACAGUAACAGACAGGUUUGUGAUGGAUGGGCUGGCAGAACCAACAUAUUUUACAGAGGUUAAUAAGAGUUUUGUAGCUGUUAUUUAUUACCAGGACAGGGAACGCCUACAUGUGCCCCUAUCUCUUAUUGCAGCAGUAACGCUUGUCUUGAAAACCAGCUCAUCAGCUUUCCCCCAGGCACUCGUUUGCUUUUCCCCUCCUUACAGUUUCUCCAGGCCAUGCUGCCCAUUUAGCGUUUCCCUGAACUACAAGGGACAGACUGAGUGUCUGGGAAUGUACACACAAAUCAUAUGACCCAAAACAGCCUGCAUUUUUUCCCCCCUUGUUACUGGAUCACUCAGGUGCUCUUGCUUUGAAUCUCCCUUUUUGUUACCUACCAGGCCAUUCGUGGCUGGGAGGUUGUUGGGACAGGGGCAGUUCGACACUGCAUGCGCAGCACAGAGGAGCAGUCUGACCUGCUCACAGCUCCACGUGCUGCUGCUCUAGUGACAGCGGUGAUUUGUCAUGCCUGCUAUAGGAAGAAGAAAGUAACUGCUUGCAGUAAGCCACAUACUAAUCAGGAGCUUUUGGGGACCUUUUCCUGUUUGUUUUCCUCUCCAAGUGACUUGCCUCUGAGCAGGACACUUUGCAGCCCCGAGCCUAUGUCAGCCCUGCCGGGGUCUGGCAUUUGUCAGUCACUCCAAAGAUGGGAGCUCAACUGAGAGGUUUUCCCAGCUGCCAAACAUUGUUCCUACUAUGGGAGGCUUUUGGUCCCAACUUUAUAGAAGCUGUCAGUGCUCUGGCUGCUGGGCAAUGCUUCUGCCAGCCCGGGGGUGAAAAAGGAAAGGCAGGGCUGUCCAAGUCGCUGGCCAGAUAGCGCCCGGAUUUCACCGCCACGUGAUGCAGCUGUUUAGCAGCUUGUGCGUGCAGACACUGUUGAAAACCAAAGGGGCAUGGGAGAAAAGGAAGAAAUGUUUUGUUUCUCCUCUCCCCUCCUCUGCCUGUUUUUGUCAUGCUGCUGUUCUCCUGCCCUGCUCCUUAGCUAUUUGGCAGAAUCGCUGCCAUUGCAAAUGUACGUGACUAAUCUGUUACUUGAGGAAACGAUUCACAGGCAUGAAUGACCUAGGCAGUCAAGGAGCUGAUGGGAUCCCGUGCUGGGAGGAGUGUUUUGGGGAUUUUGGGGGUUUGGUGUGCUUUUUUUUUUCUCUUUCCCCUAGAGGGUUGCUCCCUCUGUUAACUGAUGGGAGAGAUACCCAUCGGAGUGCUAGAUGCAUGGAUAGGGUCUCUGUUAAAGAGGUGGCCACCCUCUUCCCAGCCCCAGGGGCAGAUGUGCUGCACCAGGACUGCACGUCCCCCUUCCUCCCCAGCCACGUGGAUGCCGUUCCCUUGCGAUGGCACGGUGCCAUCAGCCACAGCGUGCUCGCCGGAGUGCAGAGGCUCUGGAAGGUCUGGGUGUGAGAUUAGGGCAGAUCCUUACUCGUUCAUCUCCCAACCAGCUCAGGCAGACACCCGAGGCCGUGGGACCGGAAUGCUCUGACCUGAAUGCAGCCAGGCACUGUCCCUCCAAGGCUGGUCCUCGCCUCCCUCCACCACUUUGCUUUGCUCCAUUUCAGCUGUGCAUCCUUAAGUGAUUCAGGGGCUCCGGGCCAAAGGGCUCUUUGCCCCGCUGGGCUGAUCCUGAAGAGAAACGGUGAUGUGCCAGGAGGUCUGGGAGGCGAAUGUCAUUUCAUCACUGUUCUCCCGGGAGAGUAAUGUCCGUAGCCAGACAUAUGCUCAUGGCCUGGAAUGAAGUCGACUGCAAUUACAUCCUGAGGGAGUCACUCAACGGGGGUUUUGUGGAGGCAGGACGCAGGCUCUGGUGGAGCUGCACAUGUGCUGUUAGACCUCCAACUGCACUCGCUCUGCCUUCAGCUUUGUGGGAGCGAGGAGCAGCAGGCUCAGAAAUACAGCCAGUCUGGUGCACAUCUGGAGGCAGUAAUUGGAGUGCUGUCUCUGUGCUAGAUGAGUGCCUGUGGGGAGUUCAGGGAGUGCAGGUCUGGGCCGUGUAUCACCCUGUCACCAGGACCAAGCUGGGAGAGGCACCCCAUGGCAGGUGCUACAGAGGCAAAAAAACAGCGCUCCUGAAGAGACAGAUUAGCAGCACACAAAAUGAUCUCUCUCGUCCUUGUGCACCCCAGAGCCUGGAUACUCCCCCAUCUCUCCAGCCUUGCAGCCCAGCUGUCCCAAACCCCAGACAGCAGGGAUGGAUAACAGCAGGCUGCUCUCUGUGCUGCAGCCCAGGCGAUGGAGGAGAUAAUGGGAAUCAUUUUUUGGUACAAGUACAAGCAUGAAUCCUCUGAAGAAAUACUAAAUCUAGUUGCGGUGGGAAAAAAGAGAAAAAUAAAGAAAAUGCACACACAAAACCUCGACCUCAUGUAACGUUGAAGGGUUUGGUUCUGACUUUUUUUCUCAGCUGCUGGUCCUUGAACUCCUCCCAGUGUAGCUCCACCACUGGAGCAACAGCUGGCAUGCUGAGGUGCAGUGCAGGGCUGCCAGCUCUCCUCACUGCAGAUCAAGCCUUGCACUCUGUUACUGGGGGAUUUCCUUGAAGCCCGCAUGCCUCUUUGCCAGAGUGCUGAGAUUGUGUGAGAAUUGUGCCUUUUGAUGGAAGAAAAAUAGGGGGGGGGGGGAAAGCUAAUUAAGAAAAGGUUUUUAGCACUACACUCAGGAUUGUGUAGGAAAAUUAACAAAUAGGAAAUGAAUAUGACCUACAGCGAGUAAAAUAAUAAUAUUUUUACCCUGAGCAGGACUGUAUGAGCUGUUUGGAUGACAUGUGGUGGAGCAGGGGUGUGGAAGAAAAUGGAGCCCUGCUCAGUGCUGCAGGCCUUUUGCCAUGCAACUGAAAAACUUAUUUUGCCACUCUGGAUGCUAACUCAUGUGGGUACAGAGACAUGAGCUUUCAAUACCUGCAAAUUUCCAUCUGGUUUGUUAGCAGCACUCCUCAUUAAGGGGAUUAUGAAAAGUUGGAGAUGCUACAGUGUUUCACACUCAUUUGACUGUGGUGGCUGAGCUGAGCCACUUCUCACUUGCCCUCCUGAAGGUGAACAGAGGACAAGGCUGUGUGAUGGGACUGGUGACAACUCGGUUUCAUCCUCUGCUGCAGCAGCCUGGCUGAGGUAAAGGUCUUUGCCCGUGGUUGUUAUUGGUUCCAUAUUUGCUUGGGAUCUUUGCAUGCAGAGGAUGGCUUUUGGCUUGCGAAGAGGAACUUCUCCGAGGCUGGACCGUUUCCCCUCACGCUCCUGAGUCUCUCCAAGAUUGCGUGUACUGCUCAGAAAGGCUGCUAAGGGCAAGGUGCUUUUCUGCAUUUAACAGAACAUUCUGAAAGCUCAUUAAUAAAGGCCAGAUAAAAUAAAGCUUGGAAAGUCAACAUGUUCAAGAAGAUAUGCCAUUCUGGGAAACUAGUGGAGAGGAGGUGUGUAUUUAUGUGGACAAAAGAAGCCCAAACUGUAAACCAUAAUAUAUCUGUUAGCUCAUUAAUGUGUCUGACUAAUUCCAGCGGUGUUCCUGCUGCCCAGCAGCAAAAGUGCAAAUAAGUGGACAGCUGUGAUUUAGUGCCAAAUAUUUGAACACAUCGUGACAAUUCAGGCCACCCACUCUUUUAAGUGAAUGCAACUUCUGGGGAAUCAUUUCAAACUGGGCUGAAGUGCAGAGCAGCCACUUUCAUGUGCAUCUCAGCCAAAUGGCCCUUAAGUAUUUGGGACCAAACUUUGCCUUCUGUUACACCCCGGGGGUGCUCAUUCACUCCAGGGUUUGCACUAUGUAGCUGAGGGGCAGAGCUGACUCUUGAUGCUAAUCUGACUUUUUCUAGCUCAGUAAGUACAAUUUCACAUGUAAAUGUAAAUGUGGAACAGAUCUGGACUCGAUUAGCUCCUGAAUCCUUGACAAAAAGCCAUAAUUGUUUAUCCAGAUGAUGUUUCUUUCUCUCUCUUUUAUUUUCUCUACACUUUAAACCCAAGGUUUUAGUGGGCUUGUGAAAUAAAUACAUGAGUGUAGACUACAGUGGUAUCAAAGGUGUGAGGGAAGCCCUUCCCUUCUCCUCAGCAGGGCUAAAUGAUCACUUGGUGCACACUUCAAUUGUGCUCUCCAGAGCCUUGGGCAGGGGUGGCUUCGGAUCUGGCUGACGAUGGGAGGGAGGGUAUUUCCAAGACAACACUUAGCCCGGGGCGCUCAUUACAGAUGUGAAGGACCUGUGAUAUAUAUCUUUUUUUUUUUCCUGGUAGGCAGUGAAAUUUGUGCUAGUGGCUAUAUCUGGGGCACAUGGUUGUUGGGGGAGGAGAAAAGCAAGGGAAUAUGGAAAAAAAAUUGUAUUUAUCAGGGUAAUCUAGUUUAGGAGCACAAGUACUAAAACAUUUUAAUCACAGUCAUACGGCUGUGUGUCACUUCAGGGCAGAAUUAAGGCUAUUUGUAUUCCUUGGUAGCACACUGCCACACUUCAACAAGUUUGAAUUUAUUUUAAGCAUAACUUUAACUCUGAAUUCCCUGGGUUUGUAAUGUCUGGUCUGGAAAUAAAUGCAACCUCUUUAUAUUAUACUUUACUCUUAAAAUAGGCUUUCCACUUUAGCUUCAUUUCUGUUGGCUCGGCAAGAGCAUGGGCUGUCAUUUCCUGCCCUGCUGGGCUUGCUGUUUAAAUGGAGAGGGCGGUGUAUCCGAAUAAAGGUACACAGCAGUAAAAACUGGGAUGGGAGAAGGAUGGCACUCCCAGAGCAGCUGUGCCACAGCUCAGUUAUUGCUUUAACUGCCCAUGCCUGACUAUCUCCUGCAUGAAUGUGUGGCUACCUUUGGCACAGACAUGCUUUCCUUGGGGGUAGAAGGAGCUCAUAAGGGGUCAAAGUUUCAAAUUAGGUUUCAUGCUGAGGAAGUGACAUGAUGAUCUCAGCUCCUAGUAAGGCCACUGUGGGAUGAUGUUCAGCUCACAUCAGGUUGCUUGUGAGCUUGGCUGACACUUCUGGAGCUGUGUGCUGUAGGUCUUCAUGUGCCACAAUGGAGAGGCUGCUCCCUGCCAGGCUAGGCACAGCCGGCCCAGCAGCGUGCCCAGGGAUGUGGCACAGGGAUAGCUCCCUGCAGGAGAGCUGUUUACCUCUGUUUGCCUCCUCACAGGGGAAAUCACCUCCUCUUCCUCCUGUGACAGGGAAGGCUGGUGGCUCAGGGAACUCUGGAGACAGAGUCCAUGCCCUGACUGCUUUUAAUACAGAUUUCUUUGGACAAGGCUUCUUCUUGAUAGGAGAGAAACAGCAUCAUUCCUGAAGUUUCUAUGCCUUGGCUUCUGCCUGCAGCCAUUACCUUCUUCCCCCACUCCCAAGCCAUGCUGCUGGGCUUCUUGCCUUGCUACACAUCCAGAGACACAGUGAAUACAUAUGUCCCCCUCUCUCCCUCGCUCUCCUGUGCAAGUUCUCUCACUCUCUCCCUCAUUUCCCUCCCAAUACACCCAUGCCCUACCCCCUGACUAAAGCAAAAUUUCCCUCUUUUUUUGGCAGCUGGCCUUCCCAGGGGCCCAGACUAACAGAAGCCUGAGCCCUGACUGACUGUGCCUUGGCCAGAGCAGAGUAGCUCUUUGCUGAGAGAUAAUGUUGCCUUAAAGGAGAAGGGAUUUUUAAAAUUUCCCUAUCUGUUUCACUAUCUUGCUUACCCCUUUGUUUCUAGGCUCCCAUGAGGAGAAUGAUGCUUGUGCCUGGGACCUGCUGCCUCCCAGUCACCUACUGGGAGUUCCCCUCUUCCUGGACAAUCUUCCUGCCUGCAGAGUUCACCUCUGAGCCAGGCCUCCCGUAGCUAAAGCAAACCUUGCUUUUGACUUUCUGCAAGCUCUGGAUUUCUGCAAGGCCUUUCCAGGACUUGCAGCUUUCCUCCAGCUCAGCCCUUGCAAGCCAAAUGAUGAGGCUUCCAGGGCUUCUCCCGCGGGAUGGCUCCAGUGCAUGCAUCUCACUGUCAGGAAGCUUUUCCUGACACUCAGCCUAAAUUUUCCCCUUUUCAAAUGUCAUCCUGGCACUCCUACUUAGCAUGCACUUUCUGUGCGUCUCACUCCCUCUGAGCAGGCUGUGCUUUUCCCUCUCCACUGCCUGGGCUCUUUCUGGUGCUUGCUGGCUGUCACCCACUUUUCUCGCACCCGCCUCAGCUUGGCCAGUCCAAGCACAUUAUCUUACAGCUCAUUUCCCUUUAUAAAUCAAACCUCCCAGGCAUUUUCCUCUCUUUUUUUUUUCCUAGUUCUUUCUUAUUUUUAAUUU